rnacentral:rRNA from 1 species
UUAAUACAUGCAAGUCGAACGAACUCUGGUAUUGAUUGGUGCUUGCAUCAUGAUUUACAUUUGAGUGAGUGGCGAACUGGUGAGUAACACGUGGGAAACCUGCCCAGAAGCGGGGGAUAACACCUGGAAACAGAUGCUAAUACCGCAUAACAACUUGGACCGCAUGGUCCGAGCUUGAAAGAUGGCUUCGGCUAUCACUUUUGGAUGGUCCCGCGGCGUAUUAGCUAGAUGGUGGGGUAACGGCUCACCAUGGCAAUGAUACGUAGCCGACCUGAGAGGGUAAUCGGCCACAUUGGGACUGAGACACGGCCCAAACUCCUACGGGAGGCAGCAGUAGGGAAUCUUCCACAAUGGACGAAAGUCUGAUGGAGCAACGCCGCGUGAGUGAAGAAGGGUUUCGGCUCGUAAAACUCUGUUGUUAAAGAAGAACAUAUCUGAGAGUAACUGUUCAGGUAUUGACGGUAUUUAACCAGAAAGCCACGGCUAACUACGUGCCAGCAGCCGCGGUAAUACGUAGGUGGCAAGCGUUGUCCGGAUUUAUUGGGCGUAAAGCGAGCGCAGGCGGUUUUUUAAGUCUGAUGUGAAAGCCUUCGGCUCAACCGAAGAAGUGCAUCGGAAACUGGGAAACUUGAGUGCAGAAGAGGACAGUGGAACUCCAUGUGUAGCGGUGAAAUGCGUAGAUAUAUGGAAGAACACCAGUGGCGAAGGCGGCUGUCUGGUCUGUAACUGACGCUGAGGCUCGAAAGUAUGGGUAGCAAACAGGAUUAGAUACCCUGGUAGUCCAUACCGUAAACGAUGAAUGCUAAGUGUUGGAGGGUUUCCGCCCUUCAGUGCUGCAGCUAACGCAUUAAGCAUUCCGCCUGGGGAGUACGGCCGCAAGGCUGAAACUCAAAGGAAUUGACGGGGGCCCGCACAAGCGGUGGAGCAUGUGGUUUAAUUCGAAGCUACGCGAAGAACCUUACCAGGUCUUGACAUACUAUGCAAAUCUAAGAGAUUAGACGUUCCCUUCGGGGACAUGGAUACAGGUGGUGCAUGGUUGUCGUCAGCUCGUGUCGUGAGAUGUUGGGUUAAGUCCCGCAACGAGCGCAACCCUUAUUAUCAGUUGCCAGCAUUAAGUUGGGCACUCUGGUGAGACUGCCGGUGACAAACCGGAGGAAGGUGGGGAUGACGUCAAAUCAUCAUGCCCCUUAUGACCUGGGCUACACACGUGCUACAAUGGAUGGUACAACGAGUUGCGAACUCGCGAGAGUAAGCUAAUCUCUUAAAGCCAUUCUCAGUUCGGAUUGUAGGCUGCAACUCGCCUACAUGAAGUCGGAAUCGCUAGUAAUCGCGGAUCAGCAUGCCGCGGUGAAUACGUUCCCGGGCCUUGUACACACCGCCCGUCACACCAUGAGAGUUUGUAACACCCAAAGUCGGUGGGGUAACCUUUUAGGAACCAGCCGCCUAA